UUCUUAUCUAGAGAGGUGGAGGGAUAUGGCCCUGUGAAACCUCAGCAGCAGGUCUGACAACAGAUACUGUGCUAAUUCCAUCGGUUCAUAGCCGGCAGAUAAGAU
rnacentral:ncRNA from 1 species